rnacentral:rRNA from 1 species
AUUGAACGCUGGCGGCAGGCCUAACACAUGCAAGUCGAGCGGAUGAAGGGAGCUUGCUCCUGGAUUCAGCGGCGGACGGGUGAGUAAUGCCUAGGAAUCUGCCUGGUAGUGGGGGAUAACGUCCGGAAACGGGCGCUAAUACCGCAUACGUCCUGAGGGAGAAAGUGGGGGAUCUUCGGACCUCACGCUAUCAGAUGAGCCUAGGUCGGAUUAGCUAGUUGGUGGGGUAAAGGCCUACCAAGGCGACGAUCCGUAACUGGUCUGAGAGGAUGAUCAGUCACACUGGAACUGAGACACGGUCCAGACUCCUACGGGAGGCAGCAGUGGGGAAUAUUGGACAAUGGGCGAAAGCCUGAUCCAGCCAUGCCGCGUGUGUGAAGAAGGUCUUCGGAUUGUAAAGCACUUUAAGUUGGGAGGAAGGGCAGUAAGUUAAUACCUUGCUUUUUUGACGUUACCAACAGAAUAAGCACCGGCUAACUUCGUG